AGAAGGACUGGAGAAAUGGCUCAGUGGUUA
rnacentral:piRNA from 1 species